CCUUCGAUAGCUCAGUUGGUAGAGCGGUGGACUGUAGUUGGGAAGCAAAGAAAUCAGGUAUCCAUAGGUCGCUGGUUCGAAUCCGGCUCGAAGGA